rnacentral:rRNA from 1 species
UACAGAGGUCUCAAGCGUUGUUCGGAUUCAUUGGGCGUAAAGGGUGCGUAGGCGGCGCGGUAAGUCGGGUGUGAAAUUUCGAGGCUUAACUUCGAAACUGCAUUCGAUACUGCCGUGCUUGAGGACUGGAGAGGAGACUGGAAUUUACGGUGUAGCGGUGAAAUGCGUAGAUAUCGUAAGGAAGACCAGUGGCGAAGGCGGGUCUCUGGGCCAUUACUGACACUGAGAAGCGAAAGCGUGGGGAGCGAACAGG